rnacentral:rRNA from 1 species
UACGAAGGGGGCUAGCGUUGCUCGGAAUUACUGGGCGUAAAGGGCGCGUAGGCGGACAGCUUAGUCAGAGGUGAAAGCCCAGGGCUCAACCUUGGAACUGCCUUUGAUACUGGCUGUCUUGAGUUCGGGAGAGGUGUGUGGAACUCCGAGUGUAGAGGUGAAAUUCGUAGAUAUUCGGGAGAACACCAGUGGCGAAGGCGACACACUGGCCCAAUACUGACGCUGAGGUGCGAAAGCGUGGGGAGCAAACAGG